AAUAAUGGCAGAGCCUCGCAGCACCCUUUGAUGGACCUUUGAAAACUGCCCCUUCCCCACGUAAGAUGGAGAAACUGAGACAGCAUUGUAAAAAUUGCUCCAAUUUAUAUACAGGAUUCCUGCAGUUGCUUGCUGGAGUAAGUGGAAUAGUGUUACUCUGGAUGGUUAUGAGGCAAAAUGAACAAAUAUUAACGGAAACACAAACAAGACACAGGACUGAAAGAUGUUCUGUAUGCUCUGUCGAAAACUGCUAAACUCGUCCAAAAUUCAUUUGCUCCUGAACUUCUGGUUCCUCUGCUACCCUGUAGUUGCUAACAGCAGCUCCUGCAGUGGUGCAGUACUCACAUCCUCUCUCCCUCUGUUCUUUUCCUUUUUUUUUUUUUUUUUUAAACAUUAUUACAUGCUCAAAUCCAACCAGCUCAAAUACUUUUUAAUACAUUGAAAAUGUAAAAUAAAGAAUAUAUGA